UGGCCUCCACCCCGACCCCCUAAGACCGGAGGCCCGCGGCGCACCACGCACCAGCUUCCCUGCCAGAUCUGCUGCAGGAAAGGACUCCAGCUUCAACCCAGAAAAUUAUUAGCAUCUCCAGGCUCUAUCUCCCAUAGAAUGUUCCCUGUAAGGUGCUGCUUCGAGAAUGCUGUCAAGGAGAGAGCUCUGGCAGCUGCUGCCCACACCUGGAAUAAGUACAAGACCACAAAUAGCCAUGGUUUAAUUUGCUGUUUCCUGAAGAGAAAGAAAACAAGAAAGGCUGUUUGCUGUCUACAGCUGGGACGUGGAUUUGAUCCCUGGUUAGGGAACUAAGAUCCCACAUGCCACGGAGCAACUAAGCCCGUGUGCCACAACUACUGAGCUCAUGUGCCUCAACUAGAGCCCGCGUGCCGCAAACUACAGAGCCCACGUGUUCUGGAACC